rnacentral:rRNA from 1 species
AAUUGCAUUCGAUACUGGUUGGCUAGAGUAUGGGGGAGGAUGGUAGAAUUCCAGGUGUAGCGGUGAAAUGCGUAGAGAUCUGGAGGAAUACCGAUGGCGAAGGCAGCCAUCUGGCCUAAUACUGACACUGAGGUGCGAAAGCAUGGGGAGCAAACAGGAUUAGAUACCCCGGUAGUCCAUGCCGUAAACGAUGUCUACUAGCCGUUGGGGCCUUUGAGGCUUUAGUGGCGCAGCUAACGCGAUAAGUAGACCGCCUGGGGAGUACGGUCGCAAGACUAAAACUCAAAUGAAUUGACGGGGGCCCGCACAAGCGGUGGAGCAUGUGGUUUAAUUCGAUGCAACGCGAAGAACCUUACCUGGUCUUGACAUAGUAAGAACUUUCCAGAGAUGGAUUGGUGCCUUCGGGAACUUACAUACAGGUGCUGCAUGGCUGUCGUCAGCUCGUGUCGUGAGAUGUUGGGUUAAGUCCCGCAACGAGCGCAACCCUUUUCCUUAUUUGCCAGCGGGUUAAGCCGGGAACUUUAAGGAUACUGCCAGUGACAAACUGGAGGAAGGCGGGGACGACGUCAAGUCAUCAUGGCCCUUACGACCAGGGCUACACACGUGCUACAAUGGUCGGUACAAAGGGUUGCUACCUCGCGAGAGGAUGCUAAUCUCAAAAAGCCGAUCGUAGUCCGGAUUGGAGUCUGCAACUCGACUCCAUGAAGUCGGAAUCGCUGGUAAUCGCGGAUCAGAAUGCCGCGGUGAAUACGUUCCCGGGCCUUGUACACACCGCCCGUCACACCAUGGGAGUUUGUUGCACCAGAAGUAGGUAGUCUAACCUUAGGGGGGACGCUUACCACGGUGUGGCAGAUGACUGGGGUGAAGUCGUAACAAGGUACCAAUCCCGCGG